GACGAACGCUGGCGGCGUGCUUAACACAUGCAAGUCGAACGGAAAGGCCCCUUUGGGGGUACUCGAGUGGCGAACGGGUGAGUAACACGUGAGUAACCUGCCCUUGACUUCGGGAUAACUUCAGGAAACUGGGGCUAAUACCGGAUAGGAAUCCUUGCUGCAUGGUGGGGGUUGGAAAGCUUCGGCGGUUUUGGAUGGACUCGCGGCUUAUCAGCUUGUUGGUGGGGUAGUGGCUUACCAAGGCUUUGACGGGUAGCCGGCCUGAGAGGGCGACCGGCCACAUUGGGACUGAGAUACGGCCCCGACUCCUACGGGAGGCAGCAGUGGGGAAUAUUGCACCAUGGGCGGAAGCCUGAUGCAGCAACGCCGCGUGCGGGAUGACGGCCUUCGGGUUGUAAACCGCUUUCAGCAGGGGCGAAGCUUGUGGUGACGGUACCUGCAGAAGAAGCACCGGCUAACUACGUG
rnacentral:rRNA from 1 species